UCCCUGAGACCCUAACUUGUGAUGCUUAGCUUUUGAAUCCACGGGUUAGGCUCUCGGGAGCU
rnacentral:pre_miRNA from 1 species